rnacentral:tRNA from 1 species
GACCGCGUAGCUCAGCUGGUAGAGCAACUGACUUUUAAUCAGUAGGUCCAGGGUUCAAAUCCCUGCGCGGUCACCA